UGGCUUUGAAGAAACUAGCCCUGUUCAGCACUGUGCCAGUUUCCCCAUCUGCAGAAUGGCUGGCUCCAUGCUCCCUUAACAUACCUCCCAGUCUCAACCUCAAGGCAUCGUGGUUUGUUUGUGUGAACUGCGCUUAAUGGCCCUGUCAGCAAGGAGGUGAUGAUCAGGACAGGAUUCACUUCAGAGAGAAGAGCUGGUGCUCCCAUGAAGGACCAAAUGCCGUGUGUGGAGAGGGCCACAAGAGAAGGACCCAAGAGGGACCUCUACAAGCUGAGAGUUGAGAGUGGUCCCCUGCCAACAGAAAGUGAGAAAACAGGGCCUUGCUAACAUGGUCACAAGAAAAUGAAUUCUUCCAACAUCCAGAGGGAGCUUGGAAGUUGAUCUUUCUCUAGUCAAGCCUCCGUAUGAGAACACACCUGGCCAACACCUUGAUUUCAGACUUGUGGGAUCCCAAGCAGAGAACCCAGAUGAGCUGUGCCUAGACUUCUGACUUAGAGAAUUGUGAGCUAAUAAACAGGUGCUGU
rnacentral:sRNA from 1 species